rnacentral:rRNA from 1 species
GAUGAACGCUGGCGGCGUGCCUAACACAUGCAAGUCGAACGGAGUUCUUAAGGAAUGCGGCUUCGGUCAAAUGACUUUUGAACUUAGUGGCGGACGGGUGAGUAACGCGUGAGCAACCUGCCUUUCAGAGGGGGAUAACAUUUGGAAACAGAUGCUAAUACCGCAUAAGAUUACAGUACCGCAUGAUACAGUGAUCAAAGGAGCAAUCCGCUGAAAGAUGGGCUCGCGUCCGAUUAGAUAGUUGGUGAGGUAACGGCUCACCAAGUCGACGAUCGGUAGCCGGACUGAGAGGUUGAACGGCCACAUUGGGACUGAGACACGGCCCAGACUCCUACGGGAGGCAGCAGUGGGGAAUAUUGCACAAUGGGCGAAAGCCUGACGCAGCAACGCCGCGUGAGGGAAGACGGUUUUCGGAUUGUAAACCUCUGUUUUCGGUGACGAACAAAUGACGGUAACCGAGUAGGAAGCCACGGCUAACUACGUG